GCAUGAUCUCAUUUUGCAUUCUCCCUCUGCAGAGACGGAGACGUCCCUGUGCUGGAAAACAAAGAUAAUUUGUCAGAAGGUGACAGCAGCAGUUCAGGUGAGCAAAAAUAUCCCCUCAGAUUUCAGCUUUUGCCCUUCUGACCUGGAUCUUUUACCACAUCCGUCCGUAAACGUUUUACGUAUCCGUGUGUCGAGCAGAGAACGCUGGAACGUCCACCGAGGACAGCUCAGAGGAGGAAAACGAGGAGGAAUCAGGUGAGAGACUUCUAUACAGGCUCAUGCCUGCGCUAAUGUUUGGUCAUGUGACUCUCAGCAAGUUGCACCUUUAAUGAGACGUUUCUGGAUC
rnacentral:lncRNA from 1 species